GGGCCCGCACAAGUGGUGGAGCAUGUGGUUUAAUUCGAUGAUACGCGAGGAACCUUACCUAGGCUAGAAUGCGCGUGACCGGCUCAGAGAUGAGCCUUUCCUUCGGGACACAAAGCAAGGUGCUGCAUGGCCGUCGUCAGCUCGUGCCGUGAGGUGUUGGGUUAAAUCCCGCAACGAGCGCAACCCCUAUGUUUAGUUGCCAGCAUGUAAUGAUGGGGACUCUAGACAGACUGCCUGCGCAAGCAGUGAGGAAGGCGGGGACGACGUCAGGUCAUCAUGGCCCUUACGCCUAGGGCGACACACGUGCUACAAUGGACGGUACAGCGGGUAGCUACACAGCGAUGUGAUGCCAAUCUCGAAAAGCCGUUCUCAGUUCGGAUCGGAGUCUGCAACUCGACUCCGUGAAGCUGGAAUCACUAGUAAUCGCGCAUCAGCCAUGGCGCGGUGAAUACGUUCCCGGGCCUUGUACACACCGCCCGUCAAGCCAUGAAAGUCUGGUAGACCUGAAGCUGGUGCUCCGCAACGAAGCCAGUUAGGGUAGAACAGGUAGUUAGGGCUAAGUCGUAACAAGGUAGCCGUACCGGAAGGUGCGGCUGGAUCACCUCCUU
rnacentral:rRNA from 1 species